rnacentral:lncRNA from 1 species
GGGGAAGAGGUGCUGGGGAUGCGGUAGGGAGGCCACUCCUCUCCCAUCGGUCCAUCUUCUCCAUCAUCUGAUCCAUCGCUGAACCGAUCCGGUGGAGAAUGCUGGUAUGAUGGAGGACCCUUUCCUCCAUCGAUGGGAGAGGAGGUGCGGCUGCUCCUGCUGACUCCAUAAUCGGGUGCAGGAUUCUGUCACGAUUGCUAGGAGUGGUGGUAGGAGUCAGGCGCAGAGAACAGAGGUAAGAAAAAUGAGUUUUAUUUUUCUCUGGUUUGACAACGGUCGACGCCAACACAACAGGCGUGAGAACUACGUGCCCAACCCAUACACAACGGGUCCACAGUUCGGAAAGAAAAAUAACUCAAGCAGAUCGCCAGCACAUCCAAAAAAAAGCACACUGACAAAAAUAAUCCCGCACAAACCUGGGCAGGCUAAACAGGCUUAAAUAACCACAAAUCAAGAUACACAAAUAAGGAACAGGUGCAAACAAUAAGACAUACCAACCGAAAGGAAAAAGGGAUCAGCGGCGGCUAGCGACGACGACCGCCGAGCGCCGCCCGAGCAGGCAGGGGAGCCACCUUCGGUGGGAUUCGUGACAGAGCAUUUCUCCUUUGCCAAGAUAAUACAUCCACCUGUCAGUUGUGGCAUAUCAAGAAGCUGAUUGAACAGCAUGACCAUUACACGGGUGCACCUUGUGCUGGGAACAAUAAAGGCCACUCUAAAAUGGGUAGUUUUGUCACACAACACAACGCCAACGUGCAAUUGACAUGCUGACUGCAGCAAUGUCCACCAGAGCUAUUGCCAGAGAAUUGAAUGUUAAUUUCUCUACCAUAAGCCGCCUCCAAUGUCGUUUUAGAGAAUUUGGCAGUGCGUCCAACCGGUCUCACAACCACAGACCACGUGUAACCAUGCCACCCCAGGACCUCCACAUCCGGCUUCUUCACCUGCGGGAUCCUCUGAAACCAGCCACCAGUACAGCUGAUGAAACUGAGGAGCAUUUCUGUCUGUAAUAAAGCCAUUUUGUGGGGUAACCAUGGAUGCGCCACUGCCCAGUUAUGUGAAAUCCAUAGAUUAGGGCCUAAUGAUUUAUUUAAAUUGGCUGAUUUCCUUAUAUGAACUGUAACUCAGUAAAAUCGUUGAAAUUGUUGCAUGUUGCAUUUAUAUUUUUGGUCAGUAUAGAUUAUCAAUAGUUACAUGUACACUGAGUAUACCAAACAUUAGGAACACCUUCCUAAUAUUCGUUUGGGCAUGGACUCCACAAGGUGUCGAAAGCGUUCCACAGGGAUGCUGGCCCAUGCUGACUCCAAUGCGUCCCACAGUUGUGUCAAGUUGGCUGGAUGUUAUUUGGGGGGUGGACCAUUCUUGAUACACAUGGGAAACUGUUGAACCCAGCAGCAUUGCAGUUCUUGACACAAACCGGUGCGACUGGCACAACAACUCCAUUAUGCUGAUCCUCAACACAGGGGCACCACAAGGGUGUGUGCUCAGCCCCCUCCUGUACUCCCUGUUCACCCAUGACUGUGUGGCCACACAUGCCUCAACUCAAUCAUCAAGUUUGCAAUGACACAACAGUAGUAGGCCUAAUUACCAACAAUUACAAGACAUCCUAGAGGGAGAGGGUGAGGGCCCUGGCAAAGUGGUUCCAGGAAAAUAACUUCUCCCUCAACGUCAACAAAAUGAAGGAGCUGACUUCAGCAGACAACAGAGAGAGCAUGCCUCUAUUCACAUCGACGGGACCGCAGUUGAGAAGAUAUACAAUUGAGAGCAUCCUGUCGGGCUUUAUCACCAUCUUGUACGGCAACUGCACCACCCGCAACCCCAGGGCUCUCCAGAGAGUGGUGUGGCCUGCCCAACACAUCACCAGGGGUACACUGCCUGCUCUCCAGGACACCUACAUCACCCGAUGUCACAGCAAGGGCAAAAAGAUCAUCGAGGACAUCAACCACCCGAGCCACGGACUGUUCACCCCGCUAUCAUCCAGAAGUUGAGGUCAGUACAGGUGCAUCAAAGCUGGGGCAGAGAGACUGAAAAACAGCUUCUAUCUCAAGGCCAUCAGACUGUUAAAUAGUCAUCACUAGCCCACUACCACCCGGUUACUCAAACCUGCACCAUAGAGGCUGCUGCCCUAUAUACAUAGACAUAGAAAAACUGGUCACUUUAAAUGGAACACUAGACACUUUAAUAAUGUUUACAUACUGCUUUACUCAUUUCAUAUGUAUAUGCCGUAUUCUAUUCCACUGUAUUUUAGUCAAUGCCACUCCGAUGAUGCUCGCCCUAAUAUUUAUAUAUUUCUUAAUUCCAUUCUUUUAGAUUUGUGUGUAUUAUUGUGAAUUGUUAGAUAUUACUGCACUGUUGGAGCUAAGAACACAAGCAUUUCGCUACGCCCCAAUAACGUCUGCUAAAUAUGUAUAUGUGACCAAUACAAUUUGAUUUGGUUUGACACAAUCCAUGUCACAAUUGUCUCAAGGCUUAAAAAAUCUUAUUUAACCUGUUUCCUCCCCAUCAUCUACACUGAUUGAAGUGGAUUUAACAAGUAACAGUCUAUGUCAUGGAAAGAGCAGGUGUUCCUAAUGUUUUGUAUAGUCAUUGUAUACAGUAUCUUGUGAUGGUAUUCCAUUGCUACAAAACAUGAAUGAGGCUUUUUAGAGCAUGCUAGCAAGGAAUGUGCCACUAUGGAUUACUUUCUAGGAAUCUAUAAACGAAUGCAUAGCACUCUCCAACACACAAUUAUUAUCCUUGAUAUGUUUUCCACUUCUUUAUUCAAGUCACUCAAGAUCCAUCUAUUAAACUCAAUCUGUUUGUAAAUUACGUACUUAGAUCGAUUAGUAAAGACAGGCUUCUUGUCUUAUCUGUGUUAAUGUGAACUAUGACCUCAGAUCCUAAAGUCUUGGGAAGAUAUGAUGUAGCCUAGGUAGGGCUGGGACCAGGGUUGAGUAAGACUAGAUGUCCGUACUAACAUUUACAGUCUAAAGAUAAGCAGACCUUUGCAGAGGACCACCUAGCAAUCCUAUUGGCUAGAGCAGGAUAACACAGAUGCUCAGUUCAACCUGCUCAUUAGGCAUGCUUGGAAAGAGUAGUGAAAUAUCCUACUCGUGAAGAAGUACUAUUAUUUUAAUUAAAUUUGACUCAAGUAGAAGUAAAAUUACUGGUGUAAAAAAACUACUCAAGUAAAAGUAAAAAGUACUCAGAGUAAAAGUAAUUGAGUUAGUUUUAAAAUAAAAAUAUUGACCUUCAUAAUUAGCUAAUUUCGCUAAUGUUACCUGAAUGUUGUUACACAUGAUCUUUUCCAUGCGUAACAUUUUUAAAAGGAAAAGAGGAAAUGAACUACGUUAAUUUAUUUUAUGAGUUGCAACAAGGCACAUCUGUAUGUAAAAAAAAUAAGGAUUUGUUAAAAAUAUACUUUUAACAUUUGAAAAUAAAUUAAACAUAAAAUCUAUUGAUAAAUAAAAAGCAAUACAAAAUUAAGUGAAUAAAUAAUAAUGUUGCCAGACUUCAAUAUAUUUCAGACUAUUUUUCAGAAACUUCAAUAUAUUUCAGAAAUAAACAUUUCAAAUUCUUUCACCCAUUCAAUUCCUCAUUCACCCCUCUUUUACUCAUUACUUGUCCAUGUGACCAACUGACAUUCACUCACUCACCCAUUCACCCUCACUCACUCAGUCCCUCUUUCCUCACUAACUCACUCACUGACUCAAGAAACCCCUCUUUCACUUACUCACCAGGGGUGGAAAGAGUACGGUAAUAUCCUACUCAAGUAGAAGUACUGUUACUUUAAUGAAAUUUGACUCAAGUAGAAGUAACACUACUGAUUUGGAAAAAUACUGAAAAAACCUCAAGCAGAAAAGCUACUCAAUUACAGUAACGAGAGUAGUUAUUUAGUUACUUUACACCUCAGUCGUUAGGACACCUCAACUCACCUUCUUGUGGCGAGGCACUUUGGCCGUCCUCAGCCCGGAUUUAAGGCCUCACUGUAAGGAUGAAGAGGCCACUCCCCUGACCCGACAGUGCUGCACAGAUUCUUCACAUACCAGAACAGUUUAACAACCUUCAACCAGACCCAUUAGGGAAUAAAGACCAGGCAAACUCCAAGAAAACCUCUAACACUACCUAAGAGAGGGCAGACAGUAUACUGUAUCUGGACAAGUUUCUAUGUGGUCCAAGUUGUACUGAAGAAUCUCACCUUAUGAGAGUACUCUGUCUUUGGUCCAUCUUAUGUUUUGGGUCCAUUUCAUAGUAAAUUAUAAUCAAAGACAAGGGUAGGGAAUUAUAGAUUCUGGACCUGCACAUAGGGGACAACGCCUACCAUUGAUCAAACUCCAAGACUAAAGGUAACAAUGGGAACCAGCUGGCUUCAUGCGCUCAUGGCUAUGGGGCCAUGGCUUUUUAUCAUUACUGUAUAUUUUUUUUAUAUAUAUUUUAGUCAUUUAGCAGACGCUCUUAUCCAGAGCGACUUACAGUAAGUAGAGAAAGCAUACAUUUCAUUUUUUUUUUAAAUCCCGUAAUGGUCCCCCGUGGGAAUCGAACCCACAACCCUAGCAUUGCAAACACCAUGCUCUACCAACUGAGCCACACGGGACCACGUGUGGCUCAGUGUAUGUACACGUGUAUGUACACACUGCAGUGGAUCUGUCCCAACAGUGGUUUUCUUGUUUAGUUCUCACCUCAAUGAAGGCUCUAUAUAUGUGCCUCGCUUUGUACCUCUCAUCCUUUUUUAGCCAACGGCUGUGGCGCAAAUCUCAUGAGGAGUGUGUAUGGUUGGUGUCCAUAGUGUUUUGUUUUUGUACUUCAAAUAAAGUGUAUACAUCAAA